AAAACGUAUUAAAAUGCCACCCCGAUGAUUUUUUUAUAUAAAAAGAGAGUAACAGAGACCUGAAAAGCCACUUCAGUUUACUAUCGCAUUUUAUAAAGAUACCAUUCAGAAAGAUGAAAACGUGGUACUUCAUAGCCGUGGUAGUACUUACGAUAUCCCUGGUAGCCUCCGCCGAUAAGUGUCUUCAAGCUUGUUAUGAUGAACACCAUGUUUGUCUCUUUGCAGAAAAUCAAAAUACUAAGGCUUGUUUUACACAAUUAAAGAAUUGUCAAACACAAUGUUCUUCGAAAAAAAGGAGCAUCAGUAAGGACGAUAUCUGGAGGAGACUGCAAUACGACUACUGACAARAUCCCAUAGCAAGAAAUGUUAGUUUUGAAUAAUUGAACACUUCGUACCAUAGUUAUCAAUUAAUUUCUUAAUGAARACAUAUAAUCGUUUUUAAAGAAGACGUUAACAACCCGCAGAUGUAACAGAACACUAUUGUAAUACAAAUAUUAUCUUUCUCUGAUUAAAACAUACAAUUGAGCAUC